rnacentral:rRNA from 1 species
UGGGGAAUUUUGGACAAUGGGCGAAAGCCUGAUCCAGCAAUGCCGCGUGUGUGAAGAAGGCCUUCGGGUUGUAAAGCACUUUUGUCCGGAAAGAAAUCCUUGGCUCUAAUACAGUCGGGGGAUGACGGUACCGGAAGAAUAAGCACCGGCUAACUACGUGCCAGCAGCCGCGGUAAUACGUAGGGUGCAAGCGUUAAUCGGAAUUACUGGGCGUAAAGCGUGCGCAGGCGGUUUGCUAAGACCGAUGUGAAAUCCCCGGGCUCAACCUGGGAACUGCAUUGGUGACUGGCAGGCUAGAGUAUGGCAGAGGGGGGUUAGAAUUCCACGUGUAGCAGUGAAAUGCGUAGAGAUGUGGAGGAAUACCGAUGGCGAAGGCAGCCCCCUGGACCAAUACUGACGCUCAUGCACGAAAGCGUGGGGAGCAAACAGGAUUAGAUACCCCUGGUAGUCCACGCCCCUAAACGAUGUCAACUAGUUGUUGGGGAUUCAUUUCCUUAGUAACGUAGCUAACGCGUGAAGUUGACCGCCUGGGGAGUACGGUCGCAAGAUUAAACUCAAGGAAUUGACGGGGUCAUAGCUGUUUCCU